rnacentral:sRNA from 1 species
CAUUACAUUUUCAAAUUCGCAUUUCAGAGUAAUGCCUUGUCAUAUUAAAGUGUUGAUAAUUUUAGUGUUUUAUUCUGCAUUUGUAAGCGCAAAGCCGGCAAUUAACACAACGGACAAUAAUGUAAUAGAACAAUGCAACAAUGAUUGCCCUUCGGAGCAACAACCAGUAUGUGGUGCAUUAUAUUUAGGAGCUAGUAAGGGAUACAUAUUGUGUACUUUUCAAAAUAUUUGUAAACUAUAUUUGCAACAAUGCGAGAAACAAGAAAGAUGGAUUGCUCACAAUGGACGCUGUGAUUCGGAAAGCCGUUGUUUCACUCGGGAUGAUCGUGACAAUGCUGCUGUGGUCAUGUUGCUA